CAGUGUUCUGUGUUCAUUCAGACAGAAGGUCAACAUGCCAACAUUAAUCCAUUUAUCUUGGAUCAUUGGUGUUUGUCUGAGUGUUAAAGUCGACCAGACUCCUCCAGAACUUCUCAGGAGACCCGGAGACAAAGUCCAGCUGGUCUGCAGCCAUGAAAAGACAGACUACACACAGAUGUACUGGUACCAGAAGUCCCCUGGAGACCGAGCUCUGAAGCGCAUCGGACAUGUGUAUUACAGCACUAUAGAACAGGAGGAGUCCUUCAAAGAACAUUUCAAUAUCACCGGAGAUAUGAGUGGAGAAGGAGCAAAGAACGGUUCUCUGUUUAUAGACAAGCUAAAGGCCCCUGAGCACAAUGCACUUUAUUACUGUGCAGCUAGCUACGCACACUGACUGCAGAGCCCCUCUACGCUAUACAAAA